AGUGGCCUACGGGAGGCAGCAGUGGGGAAUAUUGCACAAUGGGGGAAACCCUGAUGCAGCGACGCCGCGUGAGUGAAGAAGUAUUUCGGUACGUAAAGCUCUAUCAGCAGGGAAGAAAAACCGGCCUUAGGGCCGCCAGACGGUACCUGACUAAGAAGCCCCGGCUAACUACGUGCCAGCAGCCGCGGUAAUACGUAGGGUGCGAGCGUUAAUCGGAAUUACUGGGCGUAAAGCGCUCGUAGGCGGUAUGUCAAGUCAAGGGUGAAAUCCCCGCGCUCAACGUGGGAACUGCCUUUGAAACUGGG
rnacentral:rRNA from 1 species